rnacentral:rRNA from 1 species
CAUAGGUUAAUGAGGCGAACCGGGGGAACUGAAACAUCUAAGUACCCCGAGGAAAAGAAAUCAACCGAGAUUCCCCCAGUAGCGGCGAGCGAACGGGGAGGAGCCCAGAGCCUGAAUCAGUGUGUGUGUUAGUGGAAGCGUCUGGAAAGGCGCGCGAUACAGGGUGACAGCCCCGUACACAAAAAUGCACAUGCUGUGAGCUCGAUGAGUAGGGCGGGACACGUGGUAUCCUGUCUGAAUAUGGGGGGACCAUCCUCCAAGGCUAAAUACUCCUGACUGACCGAUAGUGAACCAGUACCGUGAGGGAAAGGCGAAAAGAACCCCGGCGAGGGGAGUGAAAAAGAACCUGAAACCGUGUACGUACAAGCAGUGGGAGCACGCUUAGGCGUGUGACUGCGUACCUUUUGUAUAAUGGGUCAGCGACUUAUAUUCUGUAGCAAGGUUAACCGAAUAGGGGAGCCGAAGGGAAACCGAGUCUUAACUGGGCGUUAAGUUGCAGGGUAUAGACCCGAAACCCGGUGAUCUAGCCAUGGGCAGGUUGAAGGUUGGGUAACACUAACUGGAGGACCGAACCGACUAAUGUUGAAAAAUUAGCGGAUGACUUGUGGCUGGGGGUGAAAGGCCAAUCAAACCGGGAGAUAGCUGGUUCUCCCCGAAAGCUAUUUAGGUAGCGCCUCGUGAAUUCAUCUCCGGGGGUAGAGCACUGUUUCGGCAAGGGGGUCAUCCCGACUUACCAACCCGAUGCAAACUGCGAAUACCGGAGAAUGUUAUCACGGGAGACACACGGCGGGUGCUAACGUCCGUCGUGAAGAGGGAAACAACCCAGACCGCCAGCUAAGGUCCCAAAGUCAUGGUUAAGUGGGAAACGAUGUGGGAAGGCCCAGACAGCCAGGAUGUUGGCUUAGAAGCAGCCAUCAUUUAAAGAAAGCGUAAUAGCUCACUGGUCGAGUCGGCCUGCGCGGAAGAUGUAACGGGGCUAAACCAUGCACCGAAGCUGCGGCAGCGACACUAUGUGUUGUUGGGUAGGGGAGCGUUCUGUAAGCCUGUGAAGGUGUGCUGUGAGGCAUGCUGGAGGUAUCAGAAGUGCGAAUGCUGACAUAAGUAACGAUAAAGCGGGUGAAAAGCCCGCUCGCCGGAAGACCAAGGGUUCCUGUCCAACGUUAAUCGGGGCAGGGUGAGUCGACCCCUAAGGCGAGGCCGAAAGGCGUAGUCGAUGGGAAACAGGUUAAUAUUCCUGUACUUGGUGUUACUGCGAAGGGGGGACGGAGAAGGCUAUGUUGGCCGGGCGACGGUUGUCCCGGUUUAAGCGUGUAGGCUGGUUUUCCAGGCAAAUCCGGAAAAUCAAGGCUGAGGCGUGAUGACGAGGCACUACGGUGCUGAAGCAACAAAUGCCCUGCUUCCAGGAAAAGCCUCUAAGCAUCAGGUAACAUCAAAUCGUACCCCAAACCGACACAGGUGGUCAGGUAGAGAAUACCAAGGCGCUUGAGAGAACUCGGGUGAAGGAACUAGGCAAAAUGGUGCCGUAACUUCGGGAGAAGGCACGCUGAUAUG